GCUGGGAGUGGUGGCGUACUCCUGUAAUCCAGCUACUUGGAGGCUAGAUGUUGAGGAUGAUUUGAGGUCGGGAGUUCUGGGUGCGCUGAAUCUGUAGUUGGCUGGGCGUCCGCUCCAAGCUCGGCAUCAAUUUGGGCACCCCGGGUGAGCCCGGGGAUCCCGGGGUUCGCCAGAUUUGCCAAGGAGGGGCGCAACGGGCCAUCGGAGAUACAUAGCAGCCAUAAGUCCCACUAAAUGGUGCAGUAGAGCGAUCGCGAAUAAAAUCAGACACACAUCUUUUUUCGAUUAUUUAUCUAACUUUUUU
rnacentral:SRP_RNA from 1 species